AUCCAGCUGACGAAUCCCAAAUAGGACGAAACACGCGUCAAACCGAAU
rfam:Schistosoma margrebowiei strain Zambia genome assembly, scaffold: SMRZ_scaffold0000218